UAAACAAUGACACACACCCAUUACAUUAUGCUGUACCCCAAUGGCCUUAAGCCCUGUGCAUCGCGGGGAGUGACUAGAUGUUAUUGCUCCUCACACAUCCUCAUAUUUUUUUUUUACUACACAAUAGCCACUAGCCAUUUACAGCUACAGCAGCCCCAAAGAAAUUCCCUGCCCUGUCCUUAUGGGAGACAUUUUCUAAUAACUGCUGCCUGUUAAUGGGUAAAGUAUCUCUUACACCAUUAUACAUAAAAUCAUGAAGUACAUGGGUGUGUUUAUUAGUGUCUCUGGUUUUGCCUUAGCGUGUUUAUAUAUGUUCUCUACUGUGCGUAUAUGUGUGUGUGAGAGAAUGUCUGUAGAUGUCUGCUAGAAUGUAUUAAUGUAUAUGUGUUAGUUUGUGAAAUCUUUGAGAGAUAAUUUGUUUCCAUCCAUUCUUCUCAUUGAACUUCCAAACUGGACUUUUGCUUUAGAUUAGUCUCCUUGGAUAGAUCUAAAACAAUUACACUGUUAUGGAUGCCAAGUGAAAUAGCGUACCUUUCUAACUUUGCGUGAAAUCUUUUAUAGACUAGAAAAAACCCACAAAUGGCAUUUCCAAGGCUAAAUGUAUACAACAACUUGACAACUCCUUUACACACCUAAGUAUUUUUGGUUACACCUUCUUCAGAUCCUCUGUUGUCUGCACUAGCCCUCUAUAAAGCUGACACAAAGUUGAAUCUCUGCAUUUUUCUGUUAAUUAGC